CAGAAUUUUGAUUCUGGUUCAGAUUGAACGCUGGCGGCAGGCCUAACACAUGCAAGUCGAGCGGUAGAGAGAAGCUUGUUUCUCUUGAGAGCGGCGGACGGGUGAGUAAUACCUAGGAAUCUGCCUGGUAGUGGGGGAUAACGUUCGGAAACGGACGCUAAUACCGCAUACGUCCUACGGGAGAAAGCAGGGGACCUUCGGACCUUGCGCUAUCAGAUGAGCCUAGGUCGGAUUAGCUAGUUGGUGAGGUAAUGGCUCACCAAGGCGACGAUCCGUAACUGGUCUGAGAGGAUGAUCAGUCACACUGGAACUGAGACACGGUCCAGACUCCUACGGGAGGCAGCAGUGGGGAAUAUUGGACAAUGGGCGCAAGCCUGAUCCAGCCAUGCCGCGUGUGUGAAGAAGGUCUUCGGAUUGUAAAGCACUUUAAGUUGGGAAGAAGGGUUGUAGAUUAAUACUCGGCAAUUUUGACGUUACCGACAGAAUAAGCACCGGCUAACUCUGUGCCAGCAGCCGCGGUAAUACAGAGGGUGCAAGCGUUAAUCGGAAUUACUGGGCGUAAAGCGCGCGUAGGUGGUUUGUUAAGUCGGAUGUGAAAUCCCCGGGCUCAACCUGGGAACUGCAUUCAAAACUGCCUGACUAGAGUAUGGUAGAGGGUGGUGGAAUUUCCUGUGUAGCGGUGAAAUGCGUAGAUAUAGGAAGGAACACCAGUGGCGAAGGCGACCACCUGGACUAACACUGACA
rnacentral:rRNA from 1 species